rnacentral:rRNA from 1 species
UACGGAAGGCAGCAGGUGGGGAAUAUUGCACAAUGGGCGAAAGCCUGAUGCAGCUAUGCCGCGUGUAUGAAGAAGGCCUUAGGGUUGUAAAGUACUUUCAUCGGGGAGGAAAAAACAAAACUAAUAAUUUUAUUUCUUGACGUUACCCGAAAAAGAAGCACCGGCUAACUCCGUGCCAGCAGCCGCGGUAAUACGGAGGGUGCUAGCGUUAAUCAGAAUUACUGGGCGUAAAGAGCACGUAGGUGGUUUUUUUAAGUCAGAUGUGAAAUCCCUGGGCUUAACCUAGGAACUGCAUUUUGAAACUGAAAUACUAGAGUAUCGUAGAGGGAGGUAGAAUUCUAGGUGUAGCGGUGAAAUGCGUAGAUAUCUGGAGGAAUACCUGUGGCGAAAGCGGCCUCCUAAACCGAAUACUGACACUGAGGUGCGAAAGCGUGGGGAGGCAAACAGGGAUUAGAUACC